CUCUUCAACAUCUCAGGCAAUGUGAACACCCCCUGUACCGUGGAGGAGUCCAAGUCUAUCCCCCUCAAGUUCUUGAUUGAGAAGCACGCUGGUGGUGUAGAGGGGGGUUGGGAUAACCUCUUAGCUGUCAUCCCAGGGGGUUCAUGUACUUCUAUGAUCCCUAAAGAAUCAUCUGCAGGAGGGGAGCUCUGUAGUUCGCUGGCUUCUGACGAGAACAAAACCAAGCCAUCAAACUCUUCAACAUCUCAGGCAAUGUGAACACCCCCUUUACCGUGGAGGAGUCCAAGUCUAUCCCCCUCAAGUUCUUGAUUGAGAAGCAUGCUGGUGGUGUAGAGGGGGGUUGGGAUAACCUCUUAGCUGUCAUCCCAGGGGGUUCAUCUAUUUCUAUGAUCCCUAAAGAGUACCUCAUUUUACAUCUUUGGUAGAUGGAUGGCUCUUUGCACUUUGACCAAUGAGCUUAUCUACAUUUCAUCUAUCAAGCACCGAUGAUUUGAUAUUAUCUCCAGCAAUGCAAUAAUUGAAUAAACCAACCUCACACAACUGAUAA